rnacentral:rRNA from 1 species
UCACUGUAGCUUGAUAUUGGAUCUCGGUAUUCCAUGUACAGGAUAGGUGGGAGACUUGGAAGUAAGCGCGCCAGCGUUUAUGGAGUCAACCUUGGGAUACCACUCUUGGGAUAUUGGGAUUCUAACCUGCGACCAUGAAUCUGGUCGGGGGACACUGUCAGGUGGGCAGUUUGACUGGGGCGGUCGCCUCCAAAAGAGUAACGGAGGCGCUCAAAGGUUCGUUCAGCACGGAUGGAAAUCGUGCACUGAGUGUAAACGCAUAAACGAGCCUAACUGCGAGAAUGACGGUUCGAGCAGUAACGAAAGUUGGAGUUAGUGAUCCGGCGGUAUGUGAAUGGAAAUGCCGUCGCUCAACGGAUAAAAGCUACCCUGGGGAUAACAGGCUGAUCUCCCCCAAGAGUCCACAUCGACGGGGAGGUUUGGCACCUCGAUGUCGGCUCAUCGCAUCCUGGGGCUGAAUUCGGUCCCAAGGGUUUGGCUGUUCGCCAAUUAAAGCGGUACGCGAGCUGGGUUCAGAACGUCGUGAGACAGUUCGGUCCCUAUCUGUUGCGGGCGCAGGAAUAUUGAGAGGAGCUGUCCUUAGUACGAGAGGACCGGGAUGGACGUACCGCUGGUGCACCAGUUGUUCUGCCAAGGGCAUAGCUGGGUAGCUAAGUACGGACGAGAUAAACGCUGAAGGCAUCUAAGCGUGAAACUCCCCUCGAGAUAAGUGUUCCCAUCCUUCGGGAGUAAGGCCCCUUGUAGACUACAAGGUUGAUAGGUCAGGAGUGGAAGUGCAGUAAUGUAUGGAGCGGACUGAUACUAAUAGGCCGAGGGCUUGACCUUA